UGCAAGCUGGAACAGUUUAAUACAUCACAUUUCAGAGCCGCAAUUCUUGAAAAGUACUUUUAUUAAUCAGAAGUGUUUUGAACUGUUUUAGAACAAUUUAAGGUUGACAGUUUGAUUUAAAUAGUAUUUUAUUUCUGAAUCAGUCAUAAAAGAUCAUUCACAAUAGAACAGAUCUCAUUUAUUUGGAAAACUGUUAGUAUUUCAGUUUUUUUAAAAGCGUUAGUAUGAGAGUGCAGCUUUAACUCUUUUGUGACUUUGUUGAUUGGGAAACUGUGAACAAUGUAUCAUUAUGAAACACCGGUUCUCAUUUACCAGCUGUAUAUGUGAUGACGCCUGUAGAAAGGGAUAGAAAGUCGGCAAUUUUAAUUUCGAGAAAAAGGUGUUUAAAGUUUUGUUAAUCUAUUUUACUGAAUUUAAUUGUAAUUAUUAACAUUUCGUCGCUCCAUUUUACAAACUUAAAAUAAAAGAAAUGUAUAAAUUGCUUCUAUGAAAUAUCCAUUAUGUCCGACAACGAUACAAACAAAAUAAUAGCGACUUUAAGAGUUAUCUCUCUUCGUGUCAGUACCUACGUCAUUUCCUGUGUUAAUUGACAAGCGAGAAACUUUGUCAGAUUGAUGUUUUUGUCUACAUUACUGCUGUUUGAUGCUACUUUUGCUGAAUUUUGACGGAACAGCCUCCAUGCGUGUUGCCGGACCUCCAUUACAGUUGGGACUUCGCGCAGCAGGUCUUUUCCCCCCAUCAUGCCCAACAGACUGGCCCUAUCUUCUUCAAAAUCCCACGGAAAUGUGCUGUCUUUGGAGUGUGCGCAGAAGGCUCAGGACAGCAAGUGUUUUAUUUACUGGAUGAGCCAGAGAUGCCAGGGAAGGGGGCAGACACAGUUGUUAGCCUUGAAGAGAAGAGAAUGCAGAAAUUCAUUUUGAUAACUGUGCCGGGCAAAACAAAAAUUAUACCGUUCUUUGGUAUGCUCUUUAAAGAACAAUGACAGGACUACAUCAGCGGAUAGAGCUUUCUACUAUGAUCACAGGUCACACAAAGUUCCACCAGGAUUGGCACUUCGGCCUAUGGAAAAACAAUGGAGGAAGUCAAAUGCAGAGACAAUUGGAGAAGUAGGUGCUACUGUAACCAGCUCAUCACCGAGUGGUCAUAACAUUCUUCAACUUGUUGGUGAUCCCGAAAAACCUGUCGAUUCUUCUAUUGGAAACUGUAUCUUCAACAGUUUUUAAAACAAAUGAAGAACAUCUCAAAGUACCAUCAUUUUGUACUUGAAGCAAACAGGCCAGGCCUUGUGCACAGUGAAGAGAGUUUGCUGCAUCAGAUGUUGUCGAGUUUGCGUUGCUAAAAAAUAAUGCAGUUGUUGUUCCUGGACUCCCAUCAAAUGUCUGCAUCAAGGGCAUGGAUGUUGAGCGGCAAUGGUAUUUGCACGAGACAAUUUGGGAAUUCUGCCGAAUUGACAUAAGGACAUAGUUUGCCCCAAACCUUCUUAACCAAGGCAUUGAACAGACAGUACACCAGUUAUUAUACCCACCAAAACAAAGUUUGGGGGGGGUAUACUGGAAUCGGGUUGUCCGUCUGUCCGUCUGUCUUUCUGUCCGUCCGUCUGUCCGUCCGUUUUUUUUUUGUCCGGGAUUCAUCUUUGUUGUUAUUGAACAAAUCUUUUUCAAACUUUCAGAUAUUAAUGGCCAUGAUGUAAACUUGCGCCUCUGUGAAAUUGGUACGGGUCACAUGACCCUGACCAGAGUUAUCUCCCCUUGAUGUGUUAAAGUAGGCCGUUUUUUUUUUGUCCGGGAUUCAUCUUUGUCGUUAUUGAACAAAUCUUUUUCAAACUUUCAGAUAUUAAUGGCCAUGAUGUAAACUUGCGCCUCUGUGAAAUUGGUACGGGUCACAUGACCCUGACCAGAGUUAUCUCCCCUUGAUGUGUUAAAGUAGGCAAAAUAAGCCCUGUCCGGGAUUCAUCUUUGUUAUUAUUCAACAAAUCUUUAUCAAACUUUCAGAAAUUAAUGGCCAUGUUGUAAACUUUCGCCUCUGUGAAUUUGGUACAGGUCACAUGACCCUGACUGGAGUUAUCUCCCCUUGAUGUGUUAAAGUAGGCAAAAUAAGCCCUGUCCGGGAUUCAUCUUUGUUAUUAUUCAAUAAAUCUUUAUCAAACUUUCAGAAAUUAAUGGCCAUGUUGUAAACUUUUGCCUCUGUGAAUUUGGUACAGGUCACAUGACCCUGACUGGAGUUAUCUCCCCUUGUAGGCAAAAUUAGCUUUGUCCAGCCUAACUCCAGGGCAAACAACCUAGACAUGGAGGGGUGGGGGGUAUUCGUUAGCCUAUGGCUUACAGUUCUAGUUACCAUUGGAAGCUUAUUGUUUGGAAUAGUGUUUGCUGUUGUUGAGAAUUAACGUUAUGGUUCUCAUUGUUUGCAAACCGCAAGACUUUGUAAACUGUUAUGUAAUUCUAACCAACUUUUAACCUAAUCUCCUAGAUAGCUUUCAUUUAACAAAUUUUGAUUGGAUAUCUGCUUGAAUCAUUAUUUCUGUUAUAACUAAUGCCUGUACCAAUCUAUAAGUAGUGUGCUGAGUGUCGAUGCAAAACAUUUACAACUUUGAAAUUAAAACGUAUUAUGUCUUGCCAAAGAAACAUUUUCCUUUGUUAUUUACUGUUAUUAUGUUAAGUUAAAAAACUACAUAACAUUAUUAUAAAUAGAGUACAUUCAGUAUGUGGCAAUCUAUAAAUGUUUGAAACAGAAGGUUUCCCUUUCAAGUACAGUUCCUUGAUUUUGCAUACAUGCAGGAGCAUAGACAAUUAUAGUAAUGGUUAUAUUACCUGUAUGUUAUGUAUGUUGAAGUUUGUAUUUUUUGUUGCCAUGGCAACAUUUUUAUUUCUAAUUUGCAAUGAUUAAUGCUAUGCCCGAAGGUGGGCAUAUUAAAAUCGCACCGUCCGGCUCUGUAACUUUCCCUUGUAUGGACAAAUUUUAAAAUAACUUGCCACAUGUGUUCCACAUACCAAGACGACGUGUGGCGUGCAAGACUCGUGUCCCUACCUCAAAGGUCAAGGUCACACUUCGUGUUUAUUCACAAUGGAGUGCUGCAUAUAAGGACAUAGAGUAUAGGUUGUCGUGUCUGGGCUGUAACUUUCUCUUGUAUGGACAGAUUUUAAAAUAACUUGCCACAUGUGUACCACAUACCAAGACGACGUGUCGCGUGCAAGACCCGUGUCCCUACCUCAAAGGUCAAGGUCACACUUAGUGUUUAUUCACAAUGGAGUGCUGCAUAUAAGGACAUAGAGUACAGGUUGUCGUGUCCGGGCUGUAACUUUCCCUUGAAUGGACAGAUUUUAAAAUGACUUGCCACAUGUGUUCCACAUACCAAGACGACGUGUCGCGUGCAAGACCCGUGUCCCUACCUCAAAGGUCAAGGUCACACUUAGUGUUUAUUCACAAUGGAGUGCUGCAUAUAAGGACAUAGAGUAUAGGUUGUCGUGUCCGGGCUGUAACUUUCUCUUGUAUGGACAGAUUUUAAAAUAACUUGCCACAUGUGUUCCACAUACCAAGACGACAUGUCACGUGCAAGACCCGUGUCCCUACCUCAAAGGUCAAGGUCACACUUAGUGUUUAUUUACAAUGGAGUGCUGCAUAUAAGGACAUGGAGUAUAGGUUGUCGUGUCCGGGCUGUAACUUUCCCUUGUAUGGACAGAUUUUAAAAUAACUUGCCAAAUGUGUUCCACAUACCAAGACGACGUGUCGCGUGCAAAACCCGUGUCCCUACCUCAAAGGUCAAGGUCACACUUAGAGUUUAUUUACAAUGGAGUGCUGCAUAUAACGACAUAGAGUAUAGGUUGUCGUGUCCGGGCUGUAACUUUCCCUUGUAUGGACAGAUUUUAAAAUAACUUGCCACAUGUGUUCCACAUACCAAGACGACGUGUCGCCUGCAAGACCUGUGUCCCUACCUCCAAGGUCAAGGUCACACUUAGUGUUUAUUCACAAUGGAGUGCUGCAUAUAAGGACAUAGAGUAUAGGUUGUCGUGUCUGGGCUGUAACUUUCUCUUGUAUGGACAGAUUUUAAAAUAACUUGCCACAUGUGUUCCACAUACCAAGACGACGUGUCGUGUGCAAGACACGUGUCCCUGCCUCAAAGGUCAAGGUCACACAUAGUGUUUAUUCACAAUGGAGUGCUGCAUAUAAGGACAUAGAGUACAGGUUGUCGUGUCCGGGCUGUAACUUUCCCUUGUAUGGACAGAUUUUAAAAAAACUUGACACAUGUGUUCCACAUACCAAGGCGACGUGUCGCGUGCAAGACCCGUGUCCCUACCUCAAAGGUCAAGGUCACACUUGGUGCUUAUUCACAAUGGAGUGCUGCAUAUAAGGACAUAGAGUAUAGGUUGUCGUGUCAGGGCUGUUACUUUCCCUUGUAUGGACAGAUUUUAAAAUCACUUGCUACAUGUGUUCCACAUACGAAGACAACGUGUCGUGUGCAAGACCCAUGUCCCUACCUCUAAGGUGAAAGAUACACUAAGUGUUUAUUCACAAGGGAAUUCUGAAUAUAAGGACAUAACAGUGUAGGUUGUCAAGUAUGGGUGGUAUUUUUUUAUGUUCAGAGGCAAUUUAAAAUAACUUGCCAUAUGUAUUUGACACGUAAAGGCAAGAUCAACUUUUCAUGUACUGACCUUGUUCGUAGGUCAAUGUCACAUUCGGGGGCAUUCGUCACAUACUGUGACAGCUCUUGUAUUAAGUUUUGAAAUUAUAUUUUGUAAAAUAAGAAAAGAAUCAAUAUUCCUAAAUACCUGACAAAACUGUUUAAUUUCUGUUACUAUUUCUGAGUAUUUUGAUAAUUUAUUUUGCACAUUACUGAUCUACUCUUGACCCAUAACAAUGAAAAUUCUAAUUAUAAUUACUUUUAUUAUUUAAAACAUAUUGUUAAGCUGACGACCUAUAACAAUCUCUUUCAAAUAAUCUCUUCGGUAUCUUUGAUCCUUAAUGUGUUACAUAUUUUAUUGCUUUAUAUUUUGGUUGCCAUGGUAACAUUUUAUUUUAUGUACUUACACAAUAUCAUUAUUUUGCUAGAUUAUUCAAAUAGUCUGUAUAUGAUAUAUAACUAAAAAUUAUAUAAAGAAUCGGGGGUGGGGGGGGGAACAAGUUUUCUUCUUUUAUUACUCUUUUAAAAAAAUCCGCUGUUUUUGAAGCUUUCGCCAAAAAAAAAUGUUCCACUGGCGUGCUUCUUUAAAUCGACAUAACAAGGAAAGUACUUACCGUAUGAUUUUUACUUCAAAUUUCACCAAAAUGAUUGCAAUGAAAUUCUCUUUUCAGACAUACCAAAAACUCAAAAAGUCAUUUUUGCACCUUUGUACCCCUUUUUACAGGCAUUGUCACAUAUAUGUAUUAGUUCUUAGUUGAAUAUGAAAUAAAAAUGGUUCAAUGUU